UGACGGAAUUUUGAGGUAAGUAUUUACAAGUUUGGCGGACGAAACUUCUUUUUAGGAGGGGUGAAUGUAAUACACUGAACUUUUGCAAAUUGCGGAGUGCGAGUGUGUAGAAUGAAAUGUGGAACUACCCUACAUGUUAUAAAGGGUUUAAAGAUAAUUAUGAAUAAAUUUGAGAGUGGUCGGAACGUGGGAAGCGAGAAAGUGCAUUGCAAUUUUGAGAUUUGUAUUUUCUGCAUUGGUGUACU
rnacentral:lncRNA from 1 species